rnacentral:rRNA from 1 species
GACGAACGCUGGCGGCGUGCUUAACACAUGCAAGUCGAACGGAAAGGCCUGCUUUCCCUUGUGGAUUGCGGGUACUCGAGUGGCGAACGGGUGAGUAACACGUGAGUGAUCUGCCCCCAACUUGGGUAUAAGCCUGGGAAACUGGGUCUAAUUCCCGAUAGGACUGCAGGGUGGUGCCUGUGGUGGAAAACGAUUUUCUAGUGGUUGGGGAUGAGCGCGCGGCCUAUCAGCUUGUUGGUGGGGUCAUGGACUACCAAGGCGGCGACGGGUAGCCGGCCUGAGAGGGUGGACCGCCACAUUGGGACCGGGAUACGGCCCAGACUCCGACGGGAGGCAGCAGUGGGGAGUAUUGCACAAUGGGCGGAAGCCUGAUGCAGCGGCGCCGCGUGGGGGUUGUCGGCCUUCGGGUUGUAAACUCCUUUCGACCGCGAGGAAGCCACCUGGUUGGAAGGGUGGUGACGGUAGUGGUAGAAGAAGCACCGGCUAACUACGUG